UCUCUGAUGGGACAGGUAUUCUCACUGCUAUUUCAACGCCAGGUAGAAGAAUAACCUUCAGAGAGAACUUUUCUUGGACUGUGUACAUCAGGAGUGUGGGCCUCAGGAUGAAGCCCUUUGAAGUGACAUCAACUCCUGAAGCCGCUGUUGGAAUAGCCAAAACAGUGUAUGCAGUCUGAAUACACACAUUAGAGAUCUCGCUCAUCUCAAUGCAUGAGUUCGGAGAAGUCGGGUUUCUUUUCAGAAACAAGCCUACACUUUGCCCGAGUCACUUAACAGAAGCAGAAGUACAUUCCCAAGAUACAGGGCACCUCUGACUUUAAGCCACUCCCAUCUUUAAGCUGUUCAGAACUCCACGAUGUCAAAUCGCCAUCUGGAAUCACUAGUCAUAAAUGCCCGCACACAAGUGCCUUCAAAGGGGGGUGCAGGUUGUUUGUUUAAAAGACACACCUUUUGCUACUUUCAAAUUCAAGUUUAUAAACUGCAAGCUUACCCAAUGUUUCUAUUUCCUUCUGCCCCCAAGAGAAAUUAUGUAAACAAAGGUCAACCAGAAAAACGCGCCCAACAUCUGUAGCCACUGCUGCCACUCCAGAGAAGCACUGCAGACUCUCGUGGAGGUACUGAGUGCUCGCAUCUCCUUCUCCAACAUUAGUUAUAGGUUCAAUAGCAAUCACCUAAUCAAACGAAAAGUACAGGUUAAUAUUUAGGCUCCUUGACAGCUAAACAGAAACCAUUCAAAAGUUACGGCAAUACAGAAAAGCCUCUCUUGCAUCGAGACCCUCCAGAGCUUUUCCUGAAACUGGCUUAUGCACAUCUGACAAAAUAAAAGCUUUGUUUCUCCCAUGAACAAGUACGUACCCUUCCUGGAAGAGCAACGGCUUUAACCACUCGUGAUCUUUCAAGGUCAAACAAACAGAGAACAUUUCCAACACCAAUCAGCAGCGCAGGUCUCUCCCACGAGGAAGACUCCUUGACCACACGGACAGUGGGAGGCCGUCCAUGCAGCCCACUGAAACGGUAGGCAGAGAGCCGCUCGCCUGUCAUAGAGUUCACCACCUCAAAGUGAGGACCACGUGCCAACCACGCCAGGCCACUGGUCCCUGGAAAAGAGAAGAAAACUGCCUGAAGCAAAUUUCCAAAAGAAAAACAAGAAAAAGCAGGGCCUACUGCCUCGGUAACGCUGGACAAGAACUCUUUCUGCAUGUGCUCUUAGGAUGGUCAGAGAGCUUGAGCUGGUACCAAUAAACACAGCCCUAAACAAGACCGUUCCUUGCUUGAAAGCUGCCUUUGAUUUCAUUAAAAAGCGAGGAGGGCUCACUGACACAGGGGGGUUAAGUAGAUUCUUUUAAUCGCACAGGACUGGUGCAAGUUGUUGUAAUUUCAAAGUUUCACUUGACUAAUUUUUUCACAUGAGCACUUUGAAUUGCUAAAACAUCCUUUGCCUUCUCUCUCCACCUGAGGCAUCUCAGCAGCACCCACCUGACACACCUGAGACUGGGACCUUGUGCUUCAGGAAACCCCCAGGCAAGGAUUACUUCGUACCAAGACCAGAGUGAAAGGGAAAUGCUCACCUCCAGAAAUCUUCCCCCACAGCACAGAACCUCGGGUCGGAUCAUCUUCCCCGAGCGCCUCAACAGUCCCCUCUGGGAACUUCAGCAGACUGCUCGGCGCCGGCGCCGUUAGGAAUUGCAUUCUGCACUCUAAAGGAAGAAAAAAUGGGAAAAGAGACUCUGCCAGACAUAAACGCAUCUGAGAUUGACACAAGUUUCAUCAGUAUGCAGAGAAAAAUCUCCUCUACGGGACCUGUAGCUCUUUUCCUUACAAAAACAGCUCUUGGGACAUUUUGUGAUCUCGGAGCAGAGCAAAAGGAGAAGUCUUUGCUUUUGCAGUGCAUAUGACAGCAUCGAGCAGUGACACAGAGCUAUGGACAAGAUAAGGAAGAGGAGAAAAAUGAUACACUGGGUUCAAGUUUACUCACAUAGGUUACUAAGGACGGGGUCUGAGAAAAAUCAUCUCUGAAAAAGCUUUCCAGGAACAGUACCUGGACAACAGACGCAGGUGCUCAGUAUCCCCAUACAGAACAGAUACACAGCCUUCCAAACAGAGCAAGUCAGGAGUGAACCAGCCGCUUCCAGCGUCCACACCGUUUGCACUACACGCAGCUGGCCCAGGCUCUGUAGCUGCUCUAAACCUGCAGCUGACAACUUACUGUGGAGAAGACACCAAAUUAACAGAGGCUGGAUUAACUUGGUUUCACUGCCUUAACAAGGUUUUUUGGAGAGCCUGGAGUAGAAGCUCAAGUGGAAAACGGCACAGGCUGCAUUGGUGUCAGUGUAGAACCCCACAUAGGGGACAGUGGAAAAAGGCUGCGUUAUCUCAGGGAGCUGUUAAAGGAGCAUUUGUUUAGUGUCUUUCACGUUUCAGCUAUCUUUUUAAACAUAA